UCUUAUGAUGUGGCAUCAGCAAUCUUCUAUUUGUCUUGAGGAACACCUCUACCUUCUCUGUGCUUCACUCACAAAGCAGGCAUUGCUGUGUGGAUUCGUUUUAAGGUGGCUGCUCCGUGGCAGACAUACAUACACACAUGCCUGAAGACCGUCAGAAGACCAGCUGGUGGGAGGCAGGAUCGUAAAGACGACUUCUCCACAAAUGCCACAAGCACAAUACUAGAAGAAGAUUGAUAUUUGGAAAAAUGAUGGACUUCAAAAAUAACUUUGGAUUCUCUGACCUGUUUCACUAAUGCACGCUGCCGUAAAACCAGGAGGGGUGGAAAGUGCAAUUCACAGAGAAGGGAAGGUGGACGCAUGCCCUGAAGCUUCAUGGCACUGCUCAUGACCUCUCAGGCAGGCACUCCUGUUGCUGGAGCUCUCUCCUCCUCAACCAACCUGCUAAGCCUGGAGAUGAAGGAGGACGUCCAGGAGUCUUGUAUUAUCACUGAGUACAGCUGAAUUCCUGAAAACUUCUAUAAGGGAUGAAGCUAUAAGGACUCAUUGCCGAGAAAUGCUACUGGAUACACACCUCCACCCCCUCUCACCCAGAAGACUGUUGAUGUGUUUGCAAGACACAGAUGUUUAUGAAGAAACUUCUUGUACAAGUCGUCCCUGAUGGUUAACUGGUGGCCUGGUCCGGGGAGGACAUUCAGAGGCAGGAAUUCAACUCUCCUCAAGCAAAGCGCAGAGCUGAACCUCAGGCUGCCACUUCCCAGAUGUUUAUAUUUAAAGAUAACCACUGCCAGCAUGAACAACUUUUACUUCUCUUUGAGCUUGGAGUUCAUAACGCUGUUUGAAGGCUGUAAGCCCUUAAGUACUGAAACAAGGUGAACAUUCAGCUCCAGAAAUUUCAAAUCCAGAGGAGGAAUCAAAUACGCCAAGAUAAAUAUCUCUCCUGCUCCAUACUUACAUCACUCUUUGUACCAAACUGUUAUGAACCACGAGCGGGUAACAUCUCUGGUAUUAGAAGCAAUACACCAAAGCUGUCAAGUGACUGAGAGCUUCAAACCAGACCCUCCAGGUUGUUUUGGGUUUAUUUUUGAGAUAUUUUAAACAGGCAUGUGCAAAGCAGCAGCUCCCAGAAACCUGUCCUGGCUGUUAGGCUUGCCUGAGGGGUUACAGUGCUGUCCGUCUGAAGGACACGGGCUCUAAGAUGACUUUCCUCAAAGUGAGUCCCAGCCUUCCCCUUCCCUACAGAAGUACCUAGCAGGAGAAAGGAAUCGGAGUCACAAUUUGUACUCCUUCCCCACCACACCAGGCAGUUGUCUCAGCUCUGUUUCAAACAGUGCCCAUUAUCGUAAUAUUAGCACUUCACAAUCCUUAAUGCGUGUUUAAUCCAUCAUUUUUAGGACUCUCAUAUGAAGGACUCGCUGUCCGUGGUCACCGCUACCACUGCAAACUGGAAGAUUGCAAUCUUAGCCAUAACAAGGUCACAUAAUAAAGCACAUACCAGAAGAAAGACUAAUAAUAAUUUUCAUUGCGUAUAAUAAGUAUAUAAUAAAGUUUAGUAGUAGACAGUAGAAGAGCUGUGAAAGUCAAAGCAUUUCUUUUCUAUUUCUGAUUGUCACUGC